rnacentral:rRNA from 1 species
GGAGUCUAGCAUGUGCGCGAGUCAUUGGGAAUCACUAAACCUAAAGGCGCAAUGAAAGUGAAGGCCCGCCUAGCGCGGGCCGAGGGAAGAUGGGCGGUCACGGUUUCCGUGCCGCUCCGCACUCCCGGGGCGUCUCAUUCUCAUUGCGAGAAGAGGCGCACCAAGAGCGUACACGCUGGGACCCGAAAGAUGGUGAACUAUGCCUGGUCAGGACGAAGUCAGGGGAAACCCUGAUGGAGGUCCGUAGCGAUUCUGACGUGCAAAUCGAUCGUCGGAACUGGGUAUAGGGGCGAAAGACUAAUCGAACCAUCUAGUAGCUGGUUCCCUCCGAAGUUUCCCUCAGGAUAGCUGGCGCUCGUCGCCUACGAGUCUCAUCCGGUAAAGCGAAUGAUUAGAGGCAUUGGGGUCGAAACGGCCUCAACCUAUUCUCAAACUUUAAAUGGGUGAGAUCUCCGGCUUGCUCGAACUUAUGAAGCCGCGAGACACGGAUCAGAGUGCCAAGUGGGCCAUUUUUGGUAAGCAGAACUGGCGCUGUGGGAUGAACCAAACGCCGAGUUAAAGCGCCUAAAUCGACGCUUAUGGGAUACCAUGAAAGGCGUUGGUAACUUAAGACAGCAGGACGGUG